UGGGGAAUAUUGCACAAUGGGCGCAAGCCUGAUGCAGCCAUGCCGCGUGUAUGAAGAAGGCCUUCGGGUUGUAAAGUACUUUCAGCGAGGAGGAAGGCGUUGUGGUUAAUAACCGCAGCGAUUGACGUUACUCGCAGAAGAAGCACCGGCUAACUCCGUGCCAGCAGCCGCGGUAAUACGGAGGGUGCAAGCGUUAAUCGGAAUUACUGGGCGUAAAGCGCACGCAGGCGGUCUGUCAAGUCGGAUGUGAAAUCCCCGGGCUCAACCUGGGAACUGCAUCCGAAACUGGCAGGCUAGAGUCUUGUAGAGGGGGGUAGAAUUCCAGGUGUAGCGGUGAAAUGCGUAGAGAUCUGGAGGAAUACCGGUGGCGAAGGCGGCCCCCUGGACAAAGACUGACGCUCAGGUGCGAAAGCGUGGGGAGCAAACAGG
rnacentral:rRNA from 3 species